GUAGUGCUUCCUCCUCCAGCCCUGUUCUCUCUCUCUCCUAGGUGUGUGUGGUGAAGCUGGCAGCAGGUGUGCUGCAUCGUAAUCAGCAGACGAGCUGCAGGUGGAGCUGAGUGACUGGUCUCUGAGCGUCUCUAUAAAAGCAGAUGGCACCCAUCAUUUGAAGCUGGACCGUCGUCUAAUCUCCAAAAGCUGAUUCCUGCCUGAUGAGUUGCCUGGGUUCCUUCGUCUGCUGGUUUCCGCCCUACCAUGGAUUCUGCCUUCUUCUCCGGAGGAUCUCCACCUGUUGCCAGCUUAACCUGGGAACAUCAACAUACACCUGGAAAGAGGCCUUUCUCUGGAAACAUCUGCCACAACCGGGUUCUACUGAUACCAACUUACCAAGCACAUGGUGAACACCAGGAGGGAGAGUUCUAGAUGAAGUCAAACCAAAAGGACUGUUCUCAGCUCAUCAGAUAAGUCUCCAAGCCCUAGUAUCACCAGACUCUUUGUAUUGUUAAUAUGUCGAAUUAAAUAAUCAGCGUUCUGUAUUUAACUUAAUGUACUUUAUGCUCUGCAUAAGAUAGCUUUAGUCUGGGGUUUCAGCUCAUAAUUACUGGUAGUCUAGGCUGGGUUAGUUUUGUGUUUUCAGUUGUUUCCCUACCUUGGUGUUACCAUAUGCGAGUUAACCUUAGUUUCAGUUUCCAUGUUCAUGUAGUUAUUCCUCUGUACCUCUAGAUGGUUUUUGUUUUUUAGUUCUAGUAGUAAUUUAGUUCUUCUUUGUCUAAGAUUCUAGUUCUGGUUCCUGUAUAGAGUUUCUUGUUAUGAAUAAAAGCGUUUUUAAAAUGUU